rnacentral:rRNA from 1 species
GUGGGGUGCUUGCGGUCGGCCUUUGGUCAGCACUGCUCGCGCCUACCUUUCUGCCGGGGACGAGCUCCUGGGCUUAACUGUCCGGGACUCGGAAUCGGCGAGGUUACUUUGAGUAAAUUAGAGUGUUCAAAGCAAGCCUACGCUCUGAAUACAUUACAUGGAAUAACACGAUAGGACUCUGGCUUAUCUUGUUGGUCUGUAAGACCGGAGUAAUAAUUAAGAGGGACAGUCGGGGGUAUUCGUAUUUCAUUGUCAGAGGUGAAAUUCUUGGAUUUAUGAAAGACGAACUUCUGCGAAAGCAUUUACCAAGGAUGUUUUCAUUAAUCAAGAACGAAAGUUGGGGGCUCGAAGACGAUUAGAUACCGUCGUAGUCUCAACCAUAAACGAUGCCGACUA